UUGGUUAGGUAAUGGCUUACCAAGCCGUUGAUCGGUACGGGCUGUGAGAGCAAGAGCCCGGAGAUGGAACCUGAGACAAGGUUCCAGGCCCUACGGGGUGCAGCAGGCGCGAAACCUCCGCAAUGUGAGAAAUCGCGACGGGGGGAUCCCAAGUGCCAUUCUUAACGGGAUGGCUUUUCAUUAGUGUAAAGAGCUUUUGGAAUAAGGGCUGGGCAAGACCGGUGCCAGCCGCCGCGGUAACACCGGCAGCUCUAGUGGUAGCAGUUUUUAUUGGGCCUAAAGCGUCCGUAGCCGGUUUAAUAAGUCUCUGGUGAAAUCCUGUAGCUUAACUGUGGGAAUUGCUGGAGAUACUAUUAGACUUGAGACCGGGAGAGGUUAGAGGUACUCCCAGGGUAGAGGUGAAAUUCUGUAAUCCUGGGAGGACCGCCUGUUGCGAAGGCGUCUAACUGGAACGGUUCUGACGGUGAGGGACGAAAGUUAGGGGCGCGAACCGGAUUAGAUACCCGGGUAGUCCUAACUGUAAACGAUGCGGACUUGGUGUUGGGGUGGCUUUGAGCUGCUCCAGUGCCGAAGGGAAGCUGUUAAGUCCGCCGCCUGGGAAGUACGGUCGCAAGACUGAAACUUAA
rnacentral:rRNA from 1 species